AUUAAUUUUCUUACAUCAAUUUUUUUUCUCUCUUUAAUGUGUAGAAAAUGAAAUGGAAAGAACUGCAAGCACUAUGCAAAUGAAACAUGGAAUUUCUGGUUCAUAAGAAAUUUGUGAUCAAAUUAUGAAGAAAUCUACAUUGUGAGAGAAGAGGAUAAUUUUUUGAAUGAAUUCAAUAAUAACUUGAGCAUGCACCAGAAAAGACAUUUAUUCCUAGCUAGAGCAAGUCAUACAUUGUAUAAAAAUGAUGUUGAUCAUGAUUUGAAGAAGUUUGGGGGCAGCUGAACUUUCAACAAUAAAGGAAGUUGCUAAAAUUAGCAGUAAAGUAGGAUGUAACUAUUUUAUUUCUUCUGCAUAUGUUACUUUAAGUCUGUGAUAGUAGUUUUUGUUUGUGUCACUGAAAAUGUUAUGUUUACUGACUCAUGUUUAUGUCAUUGAAGACAUGAAUAUCUUAGAAUUGAAGCUUUUGAAAAUGCAUUUGAUAAAAGUGGAGAGGGAUGCAAGU